rnacentral:rRNA from 1 species
UGAACUUAAGCAUAUCAAUUAAGCGGAGGAAAAGAAACUAACAAGGAUUCCCCUAGUAACUGCGAGUGAAGCGGGAAAAGCUCAAAUUUAAAAUCUGGCAGUCUUUGGCUGUCCGAGUUGUAAUCUAGAGAAGUAUUAUCCGCGCUGGACCGUGUACAAGUCUCCUGGAAUGGAGCGUCAUAGAGGGUGAGAAUCCCGUCUUUGACACGGACUGCCAGGGCUUUGUGAUAUGCUCUCAAAGAGUCGAGUUGUUUGGGAAUGCAGCUCAAAAUGGGUGGUAAAUUCCAUCUAAAGCUAAAUAUUGGCGAGAGACCGAUAGCGAACAAGUACCGUGAGGGAAAGAUGAAAAGAACUUUGGAAAGAGAGUUAAACAGUACGUGAAAUUGCUGAAAGGGAAACGCUUGAAGUCAGUCGCGUUGGCCAGGGAUCAACCUUGCUUUUGCUUGGCUUACUUUCUGGUCGAUGGGUCAGCAUCAAUUUUGACUGGUGGAAAAAGUUCAAGGGAAUGUGGCAUCUUCGGAUGUGUUAUAGCCUUUGUUCACAUACAUUGGUUGGGAUUGAGGAACUCAGCACGCCGCAAGGCCGGGUUUUUAACCACGUACGUGCUUAGGAUGCUGGCAUAAUGGCUUUAAUCGACCCGUCUUGAAACACGGACCAAGGAGUCUAACAUGCCUGCGAGUAUUUGGGUGAAAAACCCGAGUGCGUAAUGAAAGUGAAAGUUGAGAUCCCUGUCGUGGGGAGCAUUGACGCCCGGAUCUGACCUUUUGUGACGAUUCUGCGGUAGAGCAUGUAUGUUGGGACCCGAAAGAUGGUGAACUAUGCCUGAAUAGGGUGAAGCCAGAGGAAACUCUGGUGGAGGCUCGUAGCGAUUCUGACGUGCAAAUCGAUCGUCAAAUUUGGGUAUAGGGGCGAAAGACUAAUCGAACCAUC